rnacentral:rRNA from 1 species
CGGCCAUAGUGGGUGAUAGCCCUGUACGCGAAAAUCUCUUAGUCAUGAAAUCGAGUAGGACGGAGCACGAGAAACUUUGUCUGAAUAUGGGGGGACCAUCCUCCAAGGCUAAAUACUACUGACUGACCGAUAGUGAACUAGUACCGUGAGGGAAAGGCGAAAAGAACCCCGGAGAGGGGAGUGAAAUAGAUCCUGAAACCGUAUGCGUACAAGCAGUGGGGGCCCACUUUGUUGGGUGACUGCGUGCCUUUUGUAUAAUGGGUCAGCGACUUAUUUUCAGUGGCGAGCUUAACCGAAUAGGGGAGGCGUAGCGAAAGCGAGUCUUAAUAGGGCGUCUAGUCGCUGGGAAUAGACCCGAAACCGGGCGAUCUAUCCAUGGGCAGGUUGAAGGUUGGGUAACACUAACUGGAGGACCGAACCGACUACCGUUGAAAAGUUAGCGGAUGACCUGUGGAUCGGAGUGAAAGGCUAAUCAAGCUCGGAGAUAGCUGGUUCUCCUCGAAAGCUAUUUAGGUAGCGCCUCAUGUAUCACUGUAGGGGGUAGAGCACUGUUUCGGCUAGGGGGUCAUCCCGACUUACCAAACCGAUGCAAACUCCGAAUACCUACAAGUGCCGAGCAUGGGAGACACACGGCGGGUGCUAACGUCCGUCGUGAAAAGGGAAACAACCCAGACCGUCAGCUAAGGUCCCAAAGUUAUGGUUAAGUGGGAAACGAUGUGGGAAGGCUUAGACAGCUAGGAGGUUGGCUUAGAAGCAGCCACCCUUUAAAGAAAGCGUAAUAGCUCACUAGUCGAGUCGGCCUGCGCGGAAGAUGUAACGGGGCUCAAACCAUACACCGAAGCUACGGGUAUCACGUAAGUGAUGCGGUAGAGGAGCGUUCUGUAAGCCUGUGAAGGUGAGUUGAGAAGCUUGCUGGAGGUAUCAGAAGUGCGAAUGCUGACAUGAGUAACGACAAUGGGUGUGAAAAACACCCACGCCGAAAGACCAAGGUUUCCUGCGCAACGUUAAUCGACGCAGGGUUAGUCGGUCCCUAAGGCGAGGCUGAAAAGCGUAGUCGAUGGAAAACAGGUUAAUAUUCCUGUACUUCUGGUUAUUGCGAUGGAGGGACGGAGAAGGCUAGGCCAGCUUGGCGUUGGUUGUCCAAGUUUAAGGUGGUAGGCUGAGAUCUUAGGUAAAUCCGGGAUCUUAAGGCCGAGAGCUGAUGACGAG